UACGGAGGGAGCUAGCGUUGUUCGGAAUUACUGGGCGUAAAGCGCACGUAGGCGGCUUUGUAAGUCAGAGGUGAAAGCCCGGGGCUCAACUCCGGAACUGCCUUUAAGACUGCAUCGCUUGAAUCCAGGAGAGGUGAGUGGAAUUCCGAGUGUAGAGGUGAAAUUCGUAGAUAUUCGGAAGAACACCAGUGGCGAAGGCGGCUCACUGGACUGGUAUUGACGCUGAGGUGCGAAAGCGUGGGGAGCAAACAGG
rnacentral:rRNA from 1 species